GAAAAGAUGGGUCGUGAAGGAUUGGCAAUUUGGAGCAGAGAGGAGGCAUCCAUUCAGGCCCAGGUGUGAAGGUACCCUUUGAUGAAUGGUCAGAAGUACCUUGGAUGGAUUCUCUUGCCCAUGCAUUCUGCCUCCAGGGGAGCCCACCCUUAUCUGCUCCUGCGGUUGACCAUGACUUGGGCCAGAAUUGCUGCGUGGGAUUCCGGGCACCAGAACAGCAAGCAAGCCUGGAGGCCGCCAGCAUUAAGGAAUCAAGGAAGAGAGUUCCAGAUGGAAGCAACAGAGUGUGAAGAUGCUUGACUGCAGGCCAGUCCCCUGGCAGGGGGAGAGGUGCGGGGGUUUGGAAUGCCCUAAAAGGUUCCAGACCAGUGAGGAAAGGCUGCUAGGAAAGGCUAAGAGCAUCGGCACACAGACCCAAAGGAACGUCUGGUAUUCAGCCCCUAUGUUAAGAAGAUCUGAGGAAUUACAGACUCCCCGGGUUUGAAAUCACCCUCACUCUCAAAUUCUCAUGUCCACACUCCAGCCUCCUGCUAAGAUCACCAAAGCAAUGUUUCAUGAACAGAGAAGGAAAUCUGCCAUAACCCUUGCAGGUCAUUCAUUCAAGACCCCCUUGUAUUUCCAUUGCCUUCUAUGCAAUGUCAAGAAGAGGUAAAAAAUAAAUCACACUUCAGAUUGUUCUGAACUGGAAGGAAACAGAUAAAUGCAGGGGAAGUAAAGCACAUUGAUUAAGUGAAUAAAAGUUGGAGAACAGAAAGAA